GACAGAGGGUGCAAACGUUGUUCGGAAUUACUGGGCGUAAAGCGUGUGUAGGCGGCUCCACAAGUCGGAUGUGAAAGCCCUGGGCUCAACCCAGGAAGUGCACUCGAUACUGCGGAGCUUGAGUAUCGGAGAGGUUGGUGGAAUUCUCGGUGUAGAGGUGAAAUUCGUAGAUAUCGAGAGGAACACCGGUGGCGAAGGCGGCCAACUGGACGAAUACUGACGCUGAGACACGAAAGCGUGGGGAGCAAACAGG
rnacentral:rRNA from 1 species